AGUGAACGCUGGCGGUAGGCCUAACACAUGCAAGUCGAACGGCAGCACAGUAAGAGCUUGCUCUUACGGGUGGCGAGUGGCGGACGGGUGAGGAAUACAUCGGAAUCUACUUUUUCGUGGGGGAUAACGUAGGGAAACUUACGCUAAUACCGCAUACGACCUACGGGUGAAAGCAGGGGAUCUUCGGACCUUGCGCGAUUGAAUGAGCCGAUGUCGGAUUAGCUAGUUGGCGGGGUAAAGGCCCACCAAGGCGACGAUCCGUAGCUGGUCUGAGAGGAUGAUCAGCCACACUGGAACUGAAACACGGUCCAGACUCCUACGGGAGGCGGCAGUGGGGAUUAUUGGACAAAGGGCGCAAGCCUGAUCCAGCCAUACCGCGUGGGUGAAGAAGGCCUUCGGGUUGUAAAGCCCUUUUGUUGGGAAAGAAAAGCAGCAGGUUAAUACCCCGCUGUUCUGACGGUACCCAAAGAAUAAGCACCGGCUAACUUCGUG
rnacentral:rRNA from 1 species